GAUGAACGCUAGCGGCAGGCUUAAUACAUGCAAGUUGAGGGGCAGCAUGAUAUACGCGAGUAUAUUGAUGGCGACCGGCGGACGGGUGAGUAAUAGGUAGGAGACCUACCUCAUACAGGGGGAUAGCAUAGAGAAAUCUGUGGUAAUACCCCAUGAGGUUAUAUGAAUAGAGGCAUAUAAUCAAAGCAUAAGCGAUUAUGCGGUAUGAGAGGGGCCUACUGACCAUUAGCUAGUUGGUGAGGUAAGGGCUCACCAAGGCGAAGAUGGUUAGGGGUUUUGAGAGAGAGACCCCCCACAUUGGAACUGAGAGACGGUCCAGACUCCUACGGGAGGCAGCAGUAGGGAAUAUUGGGCAAUGGGCGAAAGCCUGACCCAGCCAUGCCGCGUGAAGGAAGACGGCCUUAUGGGUUGUAAACUUCUUUACUACGCGAAUAGAGGUUAGUACGAGAUACUAAUAGGAAGGUAGUGUAAGUAAAAAGCAACCGGCUAACUCCGUGACCG
rnacentral:rRNA from 1 species